AAGACUAUAGACCUGCGGAGUACCUGCGGAGGGAUCAUUACCGAGUUAUCAACUCCCAAACCCCUGUGAACAUACCCGAACGUUGCCUCGGCGGGACCGCCCCGGCGCCCCUAGCGGCCCGGAACCAGGCGCCCGCCGGAGGACCCAAACUCUUGCUUUAAACAGUGGCAUACUCUCUGAGUCUCACAAACAAAAAAUAAAUCAAAACUUUUAGCAAUGGAUCUCUAGAUCGGAAGAGCA
rnacentral:misc_RNA from 1 species